GUUCUUCAUUCUGUAUCUUCAACUUGUUGUUUUCCUCCUGUUAAAUCAUUCGAAGAAAGUCCCAGGUCAAUUUCAAAGGUAUUUUAUUUACAGCAAUAUUAAGGCCUGCUUGGGAGUUACACGGAAGUAGGAGGAAGGGAUACAAGAAAAUGGGAAUAGGAGAGGAAAUUCGCAUGGGGAAAUCUUAAAAUUAUGAAAGGCUUCAAUGAAAUCUCUUCCUCUCAAUUUUCUCGUUCUCAGACGAACUUCGCAGAAUGCAGAUGUUCAUGGCAAUAGUUAAAUUUAAAAUGCGGCAAAUCCCAUACGGAGCUGAAAGUUCUUGACUUCUUGUAAAUAAUCCUUCACUAGAAUCCCAAUAAUUACUGCAGCUUGCUAAUAUUGGUUCACAACACCCCCGCUUCUACCUGAGAUGAGUGAAAUGAUAAAAUCUUGCCUUUAUCUUAGCAUGAUGAUGAAUGCGCUGCUGAAGGUUCUGUUGACCAGACAGCUUCCUGAUUUCCUCUUCCAUUUCCAGUACUUUGCUCUUGUUAUUCACAUUCUCCAUCUGCAUGAAACGAGGGAAGUUAAGGCAACCAAUUUGAAAUUAAUAAGAAAGAGUAGUAUCUAAUGUUCUACCUUUAAAAUUUCAUUUUCAGUUUUCAGUGAAUGGUCCCGUUGCCGAAGCUUCUCCAUUGCAAUUUGUGCAGCCACCAAUUCGGCUUGUUUCCGAUCCACUUCGUGCAGCCACCUAUUAAACAAAGUUCAUGUUAACAACUUUUAAGAAGGAUUAUGAUCCAACCUAUUUCAAGAAUUACCAAAACGCAGACUAUGCUAACUACUUAUGAUCCAACCUUCUCUUGAGAAUAUAAAGCAUGACAUUGAGCUUUCUCUGUUAUCUUCUGCACUUGCUGAUUAUCCAAUAGUGACUGCAUGAACAAGAGCUGGGAGUGUGGAAGAGAGGUGCGCACCAGAUCCAAUUUCGGUCCACAACUCUCUUCGACACAAGAAAUGCUCGAGUAGCAACAAACAACAAGUCGUAAGAUCUUACCACGUAAGUGGUCAUAUCCAACUUCACUCCGAGUAAGUCUCGAAUUACAUCAUGGGUCAUGCUCUCAGCAGCUGCUAGUUUAGCAUUGAGCGAAAAUAUCUGGAAAAAGAGAAGAAAGCGGCACGUUAAAGAACGUCAACCGAGAUUUUACUGCAGAACAUGUUAUUAAAAGAAAGAAAAGAUUACCUCU